GUAGCCAAAGAGCAACCACCACUUGGAAUUAUCGUCCACCGGCCUCGAGAGACCUGCGAACCUCAACACUCACUGACAGUUGGCGUAGGACUACUUAGAGUUUUUCAAUUUUACGACAUUUACGUAUCAAUCCAAUAAUACAACUAUAUGGAAUGUAAGCACAGCUCGUUCUGAUUCACGGAAUAUUACAGAUGGAUACAUUGUAUUGUUUUUUUGAAAUACUUUAUAACGUCCUAAAGCACCGGGAAAAUCUUAUUCGAAUUUUAUGACAGUUGGAUGAAAAACAAUAUGGCUGCCGUUCACUCGCUCGUACCGACCGUUAGCAGAAGACUCACUUCAGUGACGUGUACUCUCUGAAUCAUUAAGGUAUACCUUGCCACCUCUUUGGGUAACAGUGACAAUAAAUAGUUGUAAGGAUAAACAAGAUGACAAUACUUGGCGAGAGGGAUACGGCAAAUGACAGAAUAAAUCCUCGAGCACUGAGCGCCCUGGGUUCAGUGGUAGUGCACGUGCCGCAGUGUGCUGCUGAAAAGAUUGUUUACGAAAUUUCUAGGCUGAUUCACAACCACCCGGCCUAUGGAUGUUGUAUCGAGAGUGCUGGGUUACAGACGCUCUAGCGUCCCAAGGACAAGGCUGCUCAUUCAUUCCAUUAUUCCUGCGAUCGAUAGUCCAUUCAUUCAUCAUUAAAUCGUAUAUUAACAAUCGAUAAUAUUCUAGGUGAAUAAUAUAUAUGCGAGUAAACGAUCUAACAAGAGAGACAACAUAAAGUCCAGCGAAGAAGUCGUCGUCGUCAAUUGAGGUUAUACGCAAUCAAGGAUCCAUCGACCGAUAUUACCGAUAAUUAACCACCGAGAAAUACCAAUCAAACUCGUGAUUGAAAUUGGUGCAGUGAAUUUCACGCGCGUUACUGUAACAUCGCUCACAAUAGCUUUAACUCCUAGAUUUCUAACGCAUAUUCAGCAGCAGCCAUUGUGAGCGUUCAAAUCGCCUGAAACUGCCGCCAAGAUCACGUACUCCUUAGUUAGGAUAUACAGUACCAGUAACCCAAGGAUACCUACCUCCUCGACGUCGUCCUCUGACAUGAGUCAUCUUCCUGGGAGUCAUCCUAUCCUAUCAAAUACAGUUUAAAUAUUUUAAUCCGACUAUAGCCUCAUCCAAAUAUCUUCAGGUUGCGUUUAAUGACUUCCGUCAAGAACACCCCGUAGAUGAGAUCGUAGGUAUGCGCGAGCAUAAAGGGCUAUUGCACCAGGCCUUGCACAGUGGUCUCUACGCGCUGGCAAUAAUGCACGACGUGGAGAGCGUAAAGCCGACGUCGUCACGGACCUCAAGAAACAAG